AGUGAACGCUGGCGGUAGGCCUAACACAUGCAAGUCGAACGGCAGCACAGUAAGAGCUUGCUCUUACGGGUGGCGAGUGGCGGACGGGUGAGGAAUACAUCGGAAUCUACUUUUUCGUGGGGGAUAACGUAGGGAAACUUACGCUAAUACCGCAUACGACCUACGGGUGAAAGCAGGGGAUCUUCGGACCUUGCGCGAUUGAAUGAGCCGAUGUCGGUUUAGCUAGUUGGCGGGGUAAAGGCCCACCAAGGCGACGAUCCGUAGCUGGUCUGAGAGGAUGAUCAGCCACACUGGAACUGAGACACGGUCCAGACUCCUACGGGAGGCAGCAGUGGGGAAUAUUGGACAAUGGGCGCAAGCCUGAUCCAGCCAUACCGCGUGGGUGAAGAAGGCCUUCGGGUUGUAAAGCCCUUUUGUUGGGAAAGAAAGGCAGCAGGUUAAUACCCCGCUGUUCUGACGGUACCCAAAGAAUAAGCACCGGCUAACUUCGUG
rnacentral:rRNA from 1 species